rnacentral:lncRNA from 1 species
UAUCUGCAUAUGCCAAAAAAUUUUAAGCAAAUGAAAGCUACCAAUUUAAAGUUACGGAAUCUACCAUUUUAAAGUUAAUUGCUUGUCAAGCUAUAACCACAAAAAUAAUGAAUUGAUGAGAAAUACAAUGAAGAGGCAAUGUCCAUCUCAAAAUACUGCUUUUACAAAAGCAGAAUAAAAGCGAAAAGAAAUGAAAAUGUUACACUACAUUAAUCCUGGAAUAAAAGAAGCCGAAAUAAAUGAGAGAUGAGUUGGGAUCAAGUGGAUUGAGGAGGCUGUGCUGUGUGCCAAUGUUUCGUUUGCCUCAGACAGGUAUCUCUUCGUUAUCAGAAGAGUUGCUUCAUUUCAUCUGGGAGCAGAAAACAGCAGGCAGCUGUUAACAGAUAAGUUUAACUUGCAUCUGCAGUAUUGCAUGUUAGGGAUAAGUGCUUAUUUUUAAGAGCUGUGGAGUUCUUAAAUAUCAACCAUGGCACUUUCUCCUGACCCCUUCCCUAGGGGAUUUCAGGAUUGAGAAAUUUUUCCAUCGAGCCUUUUUAAAAUUGUAGGACUUGUUCCUGUGGGCUUCAGUGAUGGGAUAGUACACUUCACUCAGAGGCAUUUGCAUCUUUAAAUAAUUUCUUAAAAGCCUCUAAAGUGAUCAGUGCCUUGAUGCCAACUAAGGAAAUUUGUUUAGCAUUGAAUCUCUGAAGGCUCUAUGAAAGGAAUAGCAUGAUGUGCUGUUAGAAUCAGAUGUUACUGCUAAAAUUUACAUGUUGUGAUGUAAAUUGUGUAGAAAACCAUUAAAUCAUUCAAAAUAAUAAACUAUUUUUAUUAGAGAAUGUAUACUUUUAGAAAGCUGUCUCCUUAUUUAAAUAAAAUAGUGUUUGUCUGUAGUUCAGUGUUGGGGCAAUCUUGGGGGGGAUUCUUCUCUAAUCUUUCAGAAACUUUGUCUGCGAACACUCUUUAAUGGACCAGAUCAGGAUUUGAGCGGAAGAACGAAUGUAACUUUAAGGCAGGAAAGACAAAUUUUAUUCUUCAUAAAGUGAUGAGCAUAUAAUAAUUCCAGGCACAUGGCAAUAGAGGCCCUCUAAAUAAGGAAUAAAUAACCUCUUAGACAGGUGGGAGAUUAUGAUCAGAGUAAAAGGUAAUUACACAUUUUAUUUCCAGAAAGUCAGGGGUCUAUAAAUUGACAGUGAUUAGAGUAAUACUUUUUCACAUUUCCAAAGUUUGCAUGUUAACUUUAAAUGCUUACAAUCUUAGAGUGGUAGGCAAUGUUUUACACUAUUGACCUUAUAUAGGGAAGGGAGGGGGUGCCUGUGGGGUUUUAAAGAAUUUUCCUUUGCAGAGGCAUUUCAUCCUUCAUGAAGCCAUUCAGGAUUUUGAAUUGCAUAUGAGUGCUUGGCUCUUCCUUCUGUUCUAGUGAGUGUAUGAGACCUUGCAGUGAGUUUAUCAGCAUACUCAAAAUUUUUUUCCUGGAAUUUGGAGGGAUGGGAGGAGGGGGUGGGGCUUACUUGUUGUAGCUUUUUUUUUUUUUACAGACUUCACAGAGAAUGCAGUUGUCUUGACUUCAGGUCUGUCUGUUCUGUUGGCAAGUAAAUGCAGUACUGUUCUGAUCCCGCUGCUAUUAGAAUGCAUUGUGAAACGACUGGAGUAUGAUUAAAAGUUGUGUUCCCCAAUGCUUGGAGUAGUGAUUGUUGAAGGAAAAAAUCCAGCUGAGUGAUAAAGGCUGAGUGUUGAGGAAAUUUCUGCAGUUUUAAGCAGUCGUAUUUGUGAUUGAAGCUGAGUACAUUUUGCUGGUGUAUUUUUAGGUAAAAUGCUUUUUGUUCAUUUCUGGUGGUGGGAGGGGACUGAAGCCUUUAGUCUUUUCCAGAUGCAACCUUAAAAUCAGUGACAAGAAACAUUCCAAACAAGCAACAGUCUUCAAGAAAUUAAACUGGCAAGUGGAAAUGUUUAAACAGUUCAGUGAUCUUUAGUGCAUUGUUUAUGUGUGGGUUUCUCUCUCCCCUCCCUUGGUCUUAAUUCUUACAUGCAGGAACACUCAGCAGACACACGUAUGCGAAGGGCCAGAGAAGCCAGACCCAGUAAGAAAAAAUAGCCUAUUUACUUUAAAUAAACCAAACAUUCCAUUUUAAAUGUGGGGAUUGGGAACCACUAGUUCUUUCAGAUGGUAUUCUUCAGACUAUAGAAGGAGCUUCCAGUUGAAUUCACCAGUGGACAAAAUGAGGAAAACAGGUGAACAAGCUUUUUCUGUAUUUACAUACAAAGUCAGAUCAGUUAUGGGACAAUAGUAUUGAAUAGAUUUCAGCUUUAUGCUGGAGUAACUGGCAUGUGAGCAAACUGUGUUGGCGUGGGGGUGGAGGGGUGAGGUGGGCGCUAAGCCUUUUUUUAAGAUUUUUCAGGUACCCCUCACUAAAGGCACCGAAGGCUUAAAGUAGGACAACCAUGGAGCCUUCCUGUGGCAGGAGAGACAACAAAGCGCUAUUAUCCUAAGACCCUUCACCCCUCACCUCGAUGCAGCCAGUAGCUUGGAUCCUUGUGGGCAUGAUCCAUAAUCGGUUUCAAGGUAAUAGCCUGCAGCUGGUGUUUUGAGAAGCCCUACUGCUGAAAACUUAACAAUUUUGUGUAAUAAAAAUGGA